CCUCAUUCUUAUCCGCCUCCGUUUCUCUCUUCUCCUCUUGGCGAUUCAGAAACACCAAGCUAUCUUCACCAGAUCUAUUUGAGAUUUUGCUUUUUUUCGGCUGCUAUUGAUGGUGGUUGUCUGGUUAAGUUGGCAUUCUGACCACUCGACAACCGUAAGAUCGACGGAGAAGAGGUGCAACUGACACUUUUAGAUCUACGGCCCCCAAACCCUAAUGCGUUCAAACAUUCAGAUCUGGUAUAAGAUCGACGUAGAAGAGAUGCCACAGACACUUUUAGAUCUACGGCCCCCAAACCCUAAUGCGUAUAAGGUAAGAUUUUUUGUUGAUUGUGGUUAUUUCCUUUGAAAAUUUGAUGAUUUAACAUGCAACUGAGCUUUUAGAUCUGCUGCUCACAAACCCUAACACGGUCAAACUUUUAGAUCUGGUAUAAGGUGUUGGAGGGUAACCAACCGGUUUUGAUGUUCUACCUAGCCACUGUGGAUUUCACAUCUUGUAGAGUGAUGAGUUUGUUGCAAAACAUGACUUAAUGAAGAUGAAUCAUGUGGUUUGUUCGAAGCCUAGGCAAGUCAACCUCUUCAGUUCCACCUUGAACGGGCCUGCUAUGAAUUGAAGAUGACAAAUGUGCUAUCAGCCAGCUGGACUUAUAUGAAUAUAAUUCAGGCCCAGACUGAGCUUGAAUUUAUGCACAAUAUUUCUGAGGAGGUCUGCUCUCAGUUACAUUCUUGAAAGUGCUCCGUUCAAUGAUAGCCAAAAAUGGUGUAAGAAAAUCACUACUUGUAGCACCAAUGCCAACUGCUUCAACAAGUCAAUUUCUUGGAAAUAACGAGUGUUUUGAGCCCUACACUUCCAAUAUCUACAGCCGUCGGGUUUUAAGUGGUGAGUUUGUUGUGGUGAACAAGCAUUUGCUGCAUGAUUGAUAAUCUCACUAAGGUAAUGGAGAUCUCUGAUUGAUAAUCUCACUAAGAGUAUAUCCCGCUAAUUGGAUCGGAUGAUGCAAGAUACACUUUGUUGGGAGUGCCCAACUUUGAAUAAUGAAGCGACUUCUUUUUUAAUCGAGCCGAGCUUAUAAAAAGUGAAUUUGGAUCGAGUCGGUGAGAUAUCGAAGGAGAUUAUGUCGGUUCGAAAGACGAUCGAGCGGGUGAAGCUUGUGACGAUGGAAGCUCAGAUGGUUGAAAAUUCUUUAGGCAUACAUGGAGAUGAGAUAUUGUAUGUUGGCGAUUGUAUAUACCCAGAUGUGAAUCAAACUGUUACCAAGGGUGAAUAGCAGCUCAUCGAAGGUGAAUGGCAAAUGACUUGGAGUUCACAGGUAUUUGCCAUCUCAGACGGUAGCUAAUGAAGUAGCAUUCCAGCAGCAUGCGGAUUCGCCAAUGACGAUUUCUAGGAAUAUAACUGAAAGUGAUCAUGAGAUGUCAGUGGAUGAUAGAAGUGGUUUGGAUUCAAAGGAGUUAUUAACGGUUCCGGAUAGUAACGCGGGUGAGCUGGCGGUGGUCCCCAUGAGGAAGCCAAAGGGAGCUGAGGUGGCACAACGCAGGAUUCGUCGUCCGUUUUCUGUUUCCGAAGUGGAAGCUUUAGUCAAAGGUGUUGAGAAGCUUGGAACAGGAAGUCUGGUGGACAGUCGAACCUGGUUUCUUAGGAAGAAGAGACGGACUUUCAUCGAACGCAGCAUGGAUCGACUUCGCUUGCCUUCCAUUUCGUGGGAAUCAUCUUUGGCAUACUUUGAAUCUAAAGGUUUAGAUGUGCAAGACAUGGUUACACUCCUAGGAGCACAUAUGAUGGGAAGAGUUCGAUGCAUUAACAUUCAUGAUCGCCUAUACAACUUCAACAACACUGGAAAACCGACCCCACAAUGGAAGAAUCUACAUUGAGUUACUUAAGGAACGGAUGCCCUCCAAAGACGAGGCUGGGUCAACCUAACCCGCUCAUAAACUUAAACCCGAGCAACCUGGACCAGUUCUUUACCAACUCCUACUACUCGCAAGUGUUGACCAAUAAAGUUGUUUUAGGCGUCGACCAACAGCUUCGCUAUGGGGGUGACACGUAUGUUAAGCGAUGAAUAUGCUUCGCCGAUUCCAGAUUUUAAGCUGCAGUUUGCUUUUUCAAUGGCUGGGAUGGGUGGGCUUAAGGUUAUAACUGGAACUGAUGGUCAGAUCCGACUCAACUGUCGAAUGGUUAACAAGUAGAUUGAUUGUGGUUAUUUUGUUAUUAAUAAAUAGUUGGAUUGUGUUUCAUUAAUGAAAAUCAAAAUCUAAUUCUCUGCUGCUGAUA